CUUUGAACCUCGAUCCUUGGAUCUCAGCCUCCUGAGUAGCUUGGAUUAUAGGAGUGAGCCAUUGGUGCCCAGCCAAAAAGUAUAUGUAAUUCUUUUGCAACGUAUAUUCACCUCAUGUUUUCAGACUUCCGUAAUGCUACAGUAAGUAUGAGUUCAUUUAUACCCAUGAUACCUGGCCUUGAGUUAGCAAGAAGGUUCUACCUUGAGCCUCAAAGUGUGUUCUAUAUAUUGAAAAUACCCAUUUUCUUAAUAAGUGGAUGAAAAACAACCUCAUGAGUGUCUAGAAGAUAGUUUGAGCUGAUGUCCAUAGGACAUACAGACAUUUGCUUAAGACAAAGACAGUAGUUGUUUUCAAAGCUUUUCUUUGUGUUUGUGAUUUCAGAACGUAUCAUAUAUUGAAUUAGAUAUCUCAUCCACCUUUGAUCUCUAGUUUAAAAAAAAAAAAUCACUCCAGGCACCAUUUUGACCACAUCUACUUGUUUUAACAUUAUUAGUAACCUUUUGCUUAUUUCACAAAAGACAAAAAGGCAGGGGCAAGAGGAAGAGAGAUGGUUACAGGCCAGAUGGUUAGACAAGAAACAGCAGCAGCAAACUUCAAACUCCUUCCGAAUCAAAGCCCUCCUUGGAGCCCUUCUGGGACAUGCCUCUCCCAGCUCUGCCAUCUGCCCUCUGGGAGUGGCGUCUACUAAUAACUUUCUGGCUGGUGACUUUGGCUGUCACAGCUCCCUUGUGACCCCCCACCCUUCUUUCUCUCCUUCCCCUUCUCCUCCCUCUUCCUCUCCCUCUCCCCCUCUUUACUCCUGUCACCUAGAAGCCAAUUAGUGGCUGGAGUUAUUUUGACAGAAUGUGUUCCUUGAAGUGUUGACUUGGAAUGAAAAAGUGACUUUAUAGUCAUGAAACUGCAAGCCACAGGAAGGGCCAUCGGAAAAUUUAUGUUGUCAUUAAGAAGGAAAGUUCCCAUGUGUAUCCAACACUGUUUGCUCUCUGGCUAACUGGGCUGUGUGUAGAGGGGGCUACUCACCACCAGUACUACCACCAUUCUUCCAGUUCUGACCCCCACACAAUAUGGCAGUCUCCUGACACCUGCCUGUAUUCCAUUACUGUUUCUUUGCUGUUGUGUAUGGCAGCUAUGUCUCCACAAGUAGGGGUGGAGAGUUUGGAAAAAGAAAUGGAAUUGAUUUUGAAACUUUGGCAGGCUAUACUUAGCAUUUAGUAAAGCGAGAAGUUGUUUGUAGCUUUAUACUAGGGAGAAAAAGUCAAAAGAGACCUUUACAUGUUAGCAGUAAUUAAAUUGAGAAGACUUGGUUUGUGGCAGUAAUCCUAAAAUCUUUUGGCACGUAAUUUCUUAUUGAACAGAAGCAUAGAUUCAGAAUUUAGUUUCCUGAAAACAUGCCAUUUCACCCAUCCUACCCCACCCUGAUUGCACAAGGAGAGACAGUAUGGAGAUAUGAAAUUAACUGAGUAACCACCCUUUAGGGUUGAAGCCAUGUUUUAUGAAGAGAAUAUCAGAGCUGUAUCCUUGUUUAGCUGCUUUAAACACUCAUUAUUUUGUGGCUCUUUCUUUGUCCCCCAGGGCCUCCCUUCUCAGUUUAGCAAUAUGACAGAAAUACUUCAGAAACUAGCAAAUGCUCAGAUUAAUAAAAAAAAAAAACCAUGGCUAGCCUCUUUCUUCAUGAUGCUUUGUGACUUCUUUAUAGAGGCUUUGAAUAAGGAACAAACUGCAGUAUUUAGGAGAGUUGAAUAA